UUGAAGCCAACUGGAGAGAGGUUGCGAUGCAACCCACCGAAGGGGCAAGCAGCUCUGCUGCGUAAACUCUCAGGUAAAGCGGACAGAGGGAGUGGC
rnacentral:ncRNA from 22 species